UACUCACAGCUCUCCAGCUGCAUGGUGCACGUCUGGAUGUCCAUGGGGAAGUUCUUGAGAUCCAUGGGGCAAGAGAGGAUCAGCGUCAGCCUGGGAGGAGCAGAAAGAAUGGAGCAGGUUGUCUGAGCCUACAGCAUUUGGAUAAGCCCUUCCCGCCCUUUGUCUUCCAAAGCAGACCUGGGACUCAGAGGCCAAGUUGUAAGAUGAGGCACCACCACAGGACCGGAGUGACCAGUGGCAGGGGAUGCUGGAGAGGAAAAGGAUGCUACACCAUGUCCAGCCAGGCCAGGGGGUGCCUGCGGUAGCCAGAAUCUUCUCCUCUCCUGCCUUCCCUGCUCACCUCAUUUCUCCCUGCCCCGUGCAUACCUGAUGCUGUAGAGCACGUUGCCA